UUCUUGAGGGCUUGGUCACCCGCUCCGGCCCCCUCCUGGUGGCAGCAUAGUUUUGGAAGCUCUCCUCUGGGAGAUGAAACUGACAACCCCACUCUACCACCACCACCACCAAAGAGGCGACCGGGUGUCUCUGUGGCUGUGAAUUUCUGGAGCCAUCACCCGUGACAUCAUCCACUUGGGAACGCCAGACACUUCGGACACCCCAACGUGAUCCCGAAUAAUUAAUGAUUUGCCCCUGGUACAUUGCUUAUCAUAAAUGGAGAUGGUUGGUCUUAGCAACCAGAAGAUAUAGAGAUCUUGCUGUGACAGACCUCUUUUGUAUGUGUAUUAUCCUGAAAAAAAUGUGCCCAGAAUCUGAGUUUCAUCAAUAACGCAGGAAGAUAAAGCCAUUAAAACAACAACGGGGUGUCCAGUGUAAGGAUUCAGACUUCGAAUUUACUGAGCAGCAACUAUGCCACUGAGUGAAAGCUGACGGUUGAAAAACAGCCUCAAGAAAGGAUAUGUCAACUUCUCUGGGAUUCCAGCUCACAUUGAAUUCUCUGUUCUUAAGGGCCGAAAAGAGAGGAAGCCUCUUGAAUUGACAGGAAGCCAGCUGUGCUCGCUCCACAUCUGCAUCUCCCUUGCGAGGGAGCCUGGCGCUGACGCGUGGGGUGGAACAGCCCCCAGCGCACAUCAUCUAUCUGGAUGGGCUCCUACGCAACAAAAACCUUUCUUCCUUCAAGCUGGUGAAGAGCAGAGAAGCAAGUCUGACGUGUGGAACCUGCAAGAAGGCGCCCUUUAAUCAGUCUGGCCUGUGCGGCCCUUUCAAGGGUCCGGGGCUCGACAUCAUAAGUGAUGGAGGCAAUGCGGAGCAUGAAGACAGGAGAAAGUAUAGAGGUUCCUUCCGCGUGGAAACGGAUUUCAUCAGAUUGAUCAGAAACACGUGUUUUCCCCAGACUGGGAAACCAUCUUGAAAGACUUCAUCCCAGAAAGGCCCUGGGUGGGAAGUGCCA